rnacentral:rRNA from 1 species
GACGAACGCUGGCGGCGUGCCUAAUACAUGCAAGUCGAGCGGACAGAAGGGAGCUUGCUCCCGGAAGUUAGCGGCGGACGGGUGAGUAACACGUGGGCAACCUACCCUGUAGAUCGGGAUAACAUCGAGAAAUCGGUGCUAAUACCGGAUAAUCAUUUGAAGUGCAUACUUCGAGUGUAAAAGAUGGCUCCGGCUAUCACUACGGGAUGGGCCCGCGGCGCAUUAGCUAGUUGGUGGGGUAACGGCGCACCAAGGCGACGAUGCGUAGCCGACCGGAGAGGGUGAUCGGCGAAACGGGGACUGAGACACGGCCCAGACUCCUACGGGAGGCAGCAGUAGGGAAUCUACCGCAAUGGACGAAAGUCUGAAGGAGCAACGCCGCGUGAGUGAUGAAGGUUUUCGGAUCGUAAAGCUCUGUUGCCAGGGAAGAACGCUUAGAGGAGUAACUGCCUUUAAGGUGACGGUACCUGAGAAGAAAGCCCCGGCUAACUACGUGCCAGCAGCCGCGGUAAAAC